rnacentral:rRNA from 1 species
AGACGGGGGGUCCAAGCGUUGCUCGGAAUCAUUGGGCGUAAAGGGGGCGUAGGUGGCUUUGUAAGUCAGAAGUGAAAGCCCUGGGCUCAACCCGGGAAGUGCUUUUGAUACUGCGAAGCUUGAAUGUGGUAGAGGAUAGUAGAAUUCCUGGUGUAGUGGUGAAAUACGUAGAUAUCGAGAGGAACACCGGUGGCGAAGGCGGCCUUCUGGACAGUGACUGACGCUGAGACGCGAAAGCGUGGGGAGC